GGGGUCUGUGAUGAGAACUUGGCUCCCUCUACUGAGUUCAGUGAGGACACUGCCAUUUUGUUACCCAAAUUAUUACUGAGACACA